rnacentral:rRNA from 1 species
GAAUUCCUGGUGUAGCGGUGGAAUGCGCAGAUAUCAGGAGGAACACCGAUGGCGAAGGCAGGUCUCUGGGCACUUACUGACGCUGAGGAGCGAAAGCGUGGGGAGCGAACAGGAUUAGAUACCCUGGUAGUCCACGCCGUAAACGUUGGGCGCUAGAUGUGGGGACCUUUCCACGGUUUCCGUGUCGUAGCUAACGCAUUAAGCGCCCCGCCUGGGGAGUACGGCCGCAAGGCUAAAACUCAAAGGAAUUGACGGGGGCCCGCACAAGCGGCGGAGCAUGCGGAUUAAUUCGAUGCAACGCGAAGAACCUUACCAAGGCUUGACAUAUACGAGAACGCGCCAGAAAUGGUGAACUCUUUGGACACUCGUAUACAGGUGGUGCAUGGUUGUCGUCAGCUCGUGUCGUGAGAUGUUGGGUUAAGUCCCGCAACGAGCGCAACCCUCGUCGCAUGUUGCCAGCACGUUAUGGUGGGAACUCAUGUGAGACUGCCGGGGUCAACUCGGAGGAAGGUGGGGAUGACGUCAAAUCAUCAUGCCCCUUAUGUCUUGGGCUUCACGCAUGCUACAAUGGCCGGUACAAAGGGCUGCGAUGUCGUAAGGCGGAGCGAAUCCCAAAAAGCCGGUCUCAGUUCGGAUUGAGGUCUGCAACUCGACCUCAUGAAGUCGGAGUCGCUAGUAAUCGCAGAUCAGCAACGCUGCGGUGAAUACGUUCCCGGGCCUUGUACACACCGCC